UACAGAGGGUGCAAGCGUUAAUCGGAGUUACUGGGCGUAAAGGGCGCGUAGGUGGUUGUUUAAGUGAGAUGUGAAAGCCCUGGGCUUAACCUAGGAACUGCAUCUUAUACUGGGCAACUGGAGUACUGUAGAGGGUAGUGGAAUUUCCGGUGUAGCGGUGAAAUGCGUAGAGAUCGGAAGGAACACCAGUGGCGAAGGCGGCUCACUGGCCCGGUACUGACGCUGAGGUGCGAAAGCGUGGGGAGCAAACAGG
rnacentral:rRNA from 1 species